rnacentral:rRNA from 1 species
AACGAACGCUGGCGGCAGGCCUAACACAUGCAAGUCGAACGAACCUUUCGGGGCUAGUGGCGGACGGGUGAGUAACACGUGGGAACGUGCCUUUAGGUUCGGAAUAACUCAGGGAAACUUGUGCUAAUACCGAAUGUGCCCUUCGGGGGAAAGAUUUAUCGCCUUUAGAGCGGCCCGCGUCUGAUUAGCUAGUUGGUUGAGGUAAUGGCUAACCAAGGCGACGAUCAUUAGCUGGUCUGAGAGGAUGAUCAGCCACAUUGGGACUGAGACACGGCCCAAACUCCUACGGGAGGCAGCAGUGGGGAAUCUUGCGCAAUGGGCGAAAGCCUGACGCAGCCAUGCCGCGUGAAUGAUGAAGGUCUUAGGAUUGUAAAAUUCUUUUACCGGGGACGAUAAUGACGGUACCCGGAGAAGAAGCCCCGGCUAACUUCGUG